rnacentral:rRNA from 1 species
UACGUAGGGAGCAAGCGUUGUUCGGAUUUACUGGGCGUAAAGGGCGCGUAGGCGGCAAUUCAAGUCAUCUGUGAAAUCUCCGGGCUUAACUCGGAACGGUCAGAUGAUACUGUUUUGCUAGAGUGCAGAAGGGGCAAUCGGAAUUCUUGGUGUAGCGGUGAAAUGCGUAGAUAUCAAGAGGAACACCUGAGGUGAAGACGGGUUGCUGGGCCGACACUGACGCUGAGUGCGCGAAAGCCAGGGGAGCAAACGGG